AUGCGAAACAGGGCGGUACUGCUGCCCUGUCUACCCGGUGUGGUGAUCGGGUACUGAUGAGCAACCGAAC
rnacentral:hammerhead_ribozyme from 1 species